rnacentral:rRNA from 1 species
UACGGGAGGCAGCAGUGGGGAAUUUUGGACAAUGGGCGCAAGCCUGAUCCAGCAAUGCCGCGUGCAGGAUGAAGGCCUUCGGGUUGUAAACUGCUUUUGUACGGAACGAAACGGCGAGCUCUAAUACAGUUUGCUAAUGACGGUACCGUAAGAAUAAGCACCGGCUAACUACGUGCCAGCAGCCGCGGUAAUACGUAGGGUGCGAGCG